CCGCGGGCGGUGGGCGGUGGGCGAGGGGCUGGGCGGGACGACCUUCCCCCGAGGGCGCGGGUGGCGGCUCUCCUUGCGCGGGGAGGGCGUCCUGCGCGCGGUGGCCCAGGCUUGCGGGGCGCAGGUCUCGGGGCCCGCGCAGGUGGAUGGAGGGUGAGAGGAUUGGCUCACGCGCUGGUGGGCUGUCCCCAGCGCGGCAGGACGAGAUAGUGUUCGCCCUAGCCCGUGGAGCCGGCGCGGUGCUCAUUCUCCAGUCCUUACCGAGGCCAGCUUUGGGGUGCCGAUUGUAGCACCCGGUGCACGAAGCUCUUGCCUUUGGAACUGAGUCCACAGGCCAGUGAGGGGUUGCCUCAAACGCUGAAUUCGCUGUGUCUACGAAGCCCCUGGCAGCACGGGGACAGACAUGCGUUCCUCCGGGGACCGAGGGGAGAGCAGCCAGCCGGGAUGCCCGGGCCGGGCAAGGGGCUUGGCCUCAUCCCAUAGACAGCUAUUGCGGGGGGUACGCAUUUGUGCGCCCUCCUGACCACUGCCCCUCCGUCUGCUCCUCCGGUGGCCUUUGUGUCACCUGAUAGCAGAGUUGAACAUCUGUACGAGGGGCAGUGCGGCAUUGUCCGCUGCUGCACAGUUACCCCAGACUUUUACCAGGACCAGUGUGAGAACGCCGUGAGGGUGGUGUGAGAGCCUGAGAGAGGGGCAGGUGGCACAGGAGAUCGUCCCCGACUCAAAUUGCCGAGACUCAGAGGGCUCUACUGUCUUUCACUCCGUGUGAGAUUUGAUGCUGCAGCUCAAGCAGUGCCAACUAAGACCCAACCUCCCCUUUUCUCUUCUUGGCCUCCUGGGCAUGGUAACAGUGCCCCAUCUCCCCUGCCCCCAGCUGCAGCUCUCUGCUGGCUUACAGCAGCACCCUGUCCAGGAAAGGAGGAAUUCCUCUUCCCUAGAAACCCCAGAAACAGCUUGUCUCUCACUGGCUCUGCCUGGGCUGCUUGUCCAUCCCCUGACCAGAGGAGAGGGAAAAGCUGAUGGCUCUAGCCAGUCAGGGCCAUGGCACCCAGGCCCACAGGAAGGAAACUGGGGUCCUGUGUCAGAGGGGAAGUGGGUGCUGGGAGCAGCCACAGUUGUUUGCCACGCCCCCAUCUUCCUUUCGUAAGAAUGAAGAGGAGGCAGCUCUUCCACAGCAAUGCAUCACACAGAGAACUUGGUCUCACACACCAGAGGACUCUGCAUUCUCCGCCUUGUCUAUUCAGUAGCUAUUUACUGACGAGUGACAUGCAUUGCACACUUUGUGCGCACAGUCAGGCACUGCACUGAGUGCAGCAAAAAGGACAGUAAGAUUCGGCCACGCACCUCCAAAUGCUUAUGGUCCAGUGGCCAUCACUGGACACAGUGACAAGGGCCAGGGGAAGGAGCCUCAUGGGAGGCCAGCACAGUAACUAGAGCUGGAAGAGCCAGCUUACAGUGAGGAUGGAGCAAAGUGACAGAUUUGUGAGAUGGCCAGGAUUUGAUUGGCUCCAUAUGCAGUUGGAGGUAGAUAUUGAGUCAGAAGAAAGGAACCUGGAAUGACUUCCAGGGGACCACUGGCAAAGGAUGGAGGGCGGUGUUGCCACAGGACCCAGCACCAGAGCAUGGAGAGCGGGGCAGCUGUGCACUGGCAGGAGAUGGCUUUGGUGAGAGCUCUUGCAGCCUGGUAGGGACCCAGUGACACGAGGUGUGAGGUGGCCGUGAGACGAAGGAGAGCAGACUCGAGAGUUGGAGGAGGCUGGAAAUACAGAUGGAAGAGGCUGAAGGUGGAGCCAGCUCCCUGAGAAGACAAAGAGCAAGACCUGGCCUUGAGUGGGAGGGUGGACACGACUUCCAUUUCUGCCCAAGCAGCGGGUGGAUGGGGGUGAAAGGGAGGCACAGGGUUGGUAGCCCUGUCAGUGCAGUGAGCUUUCUGAGACCUUCUUCCUGGGCUUGACUCUGGACUGACUGGAGUAGGGUAUGUGGCAAGGGGCCCCAACCUUCAUGUUAAGACCUCCCCAGAUGAUCCCAUGGCUUCCCUGCCUUCUGCCCCCGCUGGGCUAAGAGUGGGGGAGACAGGGAAACAGGCUGGUGCUCAGAGUGGCUGAAGAGCUAAGCCACAAAGUCUCUGCUAGAAACAAGAGGAGGAGACGAGGGGAGGGGGCCUGGGUGUUGGACAGGCUACCCACAGAGCCCUGAGGGGAGCCAGGGUCAGAGUUCAGAGGCCUGGUGGAAACCCCCCAACUCGCAGGAAAGGAUCUAAGGUUCCAAGAGGAAGUGCUUGCUCAGUUGACCCCUCACUCCAGCAGCCUCUCCCACUACCACAAGACCACAAGGUUGCUGACAAAUGGCUGAAAACAAGCACCCCAGGUGCACUGUACCCAGGUGUGUUUGCUUGAUGCCAGAGAGCACAGCUGGAAACGGUGAGAAGCACACAAGCUUUAUUUGCACAAUCUAGGGAGGUGUUCCCCAAUCUGUCCCACUGAAAGAGGACAGGGUCUUUUCUCUCACACCGGCUACUGAAAUAUAAAUUAACACAACUGCAAAUCAAAC